rnacentral:misc_RNA from 1 species
AGCUUAGAAAGGCGAAAAUUCUCAUAAAUGUCCUUGGCAGUGACAAUGAAGUUGCUGAACUCUUCAACAAGAUAGGUAAUGACUUGGUCCCAAACCCUGAUAUAUAUGGCACUGUCAAAGAUAAUAUCGAAAAAUACUAUAACAGCAAAUGGACAACCUAUUCAGCUGAGGCCUAUCACAGCUAUUUCAGUAGUCCCUGGACUUU